AUUAUGCUGUAAUAAUGUUUUUGUUGUUGUUGAUUUGUUUUAUUUCGGUUUUUUUUUCAGUCUUUUUCUCUCUCAGAAAAAUACCGGUAUGCUCUUUGUAGUUGUUUUCUCCAAUUCAUUACUUAGUCUAAAAUAACAAACUAUAUGUAAUUUUUGUUAUUCUUCUGUUGGAACCCUGAUUGAUUGUUAUUACUCCGCCCCUACUAUAAUUCCUCGUUUAUUUGUGUGAACUAUAUGCUUUAUGGAAGCUAUGAACAUUUUCUUUAGAACAGUGUUGUAAUCUCUAACAGUAAG
rnacentral:lncRNA from 1 species